rnacentral:rRNA from 1 species
AACGAACGCUGGCGGCGCGCCUAAUACAUGCAAGUCGAGCGAGAAGGUGUAGCAAUACACUUGUAAAGCGGCGAACGGGUGAGGAAUACAUGGGGUAACCUACCCUCGAGUGGGGAAGUAACUAGCCGAAAGGUUAGCUAAUACCGCGUACGCUUCCGGGACGUGCGGUUCCGGAAGGAAAGACGAUACUGUGAGUAUCGCGCUCUUGGAUGGGCGUCAUGUCCUAUCAGCUUGUUGGUGAGGUAACGGCUCACCAAGGCUUCGACGGGUAGGCUGGUCUGAGAGGACGAUCAGCCACACUGGCACUGCGACACGGGCCGAGACUCCUACGGGAGGCAGCAGUAAGGAAUAUUGCGCAAUGGACGAC